AGAGUUGAUUAUGGCUCAGGAUGAACGCUGGCGGCGUGCCUAACACAUGCAAGUCGAACGAAGCUCCGAUCCUGAGAUUCGGUCAAGAGGAAAGGAAGACUUAGUGGCGGACGGGUGAGUAAUGCGUGAGCAACCUGCCUUUCAGAGGGGGACAACAGUUGGAAACGACUGCUAAUACCGCAUAAAGUAUUAAGAUGGCAUCAUCUAAAUACCAAAGAUUUAUCGCUGAAAGAUGGGCUCACGUCUGAUUAGCUAGUUGGUGAGGUAAUGGCUCACCCAAGGCUGCGAUCAGUAGCCGGACUGAGAGGUCGAACGGCCACAUUGGGACUGAGAUACGGCCCAGACUCCUACGGGAGGCAGCAGUGGGGAAUAUUGGGCAAUGGGCGCAAAGCCUGACCCAGCAACGCCGCGUGAAGGAAGAAGGCUUUCGGGUUGUAAACUUCUUUUGGCAGGGACGAAGAAAGUGACGGUACCUGCAGAAUAAGCUCCGGCUAACUACGUGCCAGCCGCCGC
rnacentral:rRNA from 1 species